rnacentral:rRNA from 1 species
GAAGGGGCCUAGCGUAGUUCGGAAUUACUGGGCUUAAAGAGUUCGUAGGUGGUUGAAAAAGUUGGUGGUGAAAUCCCAGAGCUUAACUCUGGAACUGCCAUCAAAACUUUUCAGCUAGAGUUUGAUAGAGGAAAGCAGAAUUUCUAGUGUAGAGGUGAAAUUCGUAGAUAUUAGAAAGAAUACCAAUUGCGAAGGCAGCUUUCUGGAUCAUUACUGACACUGAGGAACGAAAGCAUGGGUAGCGAAGAGGAUUAGAUACCCUCGUAGUCCAUGCCGUAAACGAUGUGUGUUAGACGUUGGAAAUUUAUUUUCAGUGUCGCAGCGAAAGCGAUAAACACACCGCCUGGGGAGUACGACCGCAAGGUUAAAACUCAAAUGAAUUGACGGGGACCCGCACAAGUAGUGGAGCAUGUGGUUUAAUUCGAAGAUACGCGCAGAACCUUACCAACACUUGACAUGUUCGUCGCGACUUUAAGAGAUUAAAGUUUUCGGUUCGGCCGGACGAAACACAGGUGCUGCAUGGCUGUCGUCAGCUCGUGUCGUGAGAUGUUGGGUUAAGUCCCGCAACGAGCGCAACCCUCACUUUUAGUUGCCAUCAUUUAGUUGGGCACUCUGAAAGAACUGCCAGUGAUAAGCUGGAGGAAGGUGGGGAUGACGUCAAGUCCUCAUGGCCCUUACGUGUUGGGCUACACACGUGCUACAAUGGUAUCUACAACAGGAAGCAAGACGGCGACGUUAAGCAAAUCCCUAAAAGAUACCUCAGUUCGGAUUGCACUCUGCAACUCGAGUGCAUGAAGCUGGAAUUACUAGUAAUCGUGGAUCAGCGUGCCACGGUGAAUGCGUUCCCGGGUCUU